rnacentral:rRNA from 1 species
GAUGAACGCUGGCGGCGUGCCUAAUACAUGCAAGUCGAGCGAAUGGAUUAAGAGCUUGCUCUUAUGAAGUUAGCGGCGGACGGGUGAGUAACACGUGGGUAACCUGCCCAUAAGACUGGGAUAACUCCGGGAAACCGGGGCUAAUACCGGAUAACAUUUUGAACCGCAUGGUUCGAAAUUGAAAGGCGGCUUCGGCUGUCACUUAUGGAUGGACCCGCGUCGCAUUAGCUAGUUGGUGAGGUAACGGCUCACCAAGGCAACGAUGCGUAGCCGACCUGGGAGGGUGAUCGGCCACACUGGGACUGAGACACGGCCCAGACUCCUACGGGAGGCAGCAGUAGGGAAUCUUCCGCAAUGGACGAAAGUCUGGCGGAGCAACGCCGCGUGAGUGAUGAAGGCUUUCGGGUCGUAAAACUCUGUUGUUAGGGAAGAACAAGUGCUAGUUGAAUAAGCUGGCACCUUGACGGUACCUAACCUGAAAGCCACGGCUAACUACGUGCCAGCCGCCGCCGUAA